ensembl:lncRNA
AUGAUAUGGUAUUCAAAUUAAGGUGGCAUGGUAUUCAAAUGAAGAUGAUAUGGUAUUCAAAUUAAGGUGGCAUGGUAUUCAAAUGAAGAUGAUAUGGUAUUCAAAUGAAGAUGAUAUGGUAUUCAAAUGAAGAUGAUAUGGUAUUCAAAUUAAGAUGAUAUGGUAUUCAAAUUAAGGUGGCAUGGUAUUCAAAUGAAGAUGAUAUGGUAUUCAAAUUAAGGUGGCAUGGUAUUCAAAUUAAGGUGGCAUGGUAUUCAAAUGAAGAUGAUAUGGUAUUCAAAUGAAGAUGAUAUGGUAUUCAAAUUAAGGUGGCAUGGUAUUCAAAUUAAGGUGGCAUGGUAUUCAAAUUAAGGUGAAAUGGUAUUCAAAUUAAGGUGGCAUCCUUAUGUUUGACUUUGCA